UACGAAGGGUGCGAGCGUUGUUCGGAAUUACUGGGCGUAAAGCGUGCGCAGGCGGUUGUGUAAGACAGAUGUGAAAUCCCCGGGCUCAACCUGGGAACUGCAUUUGUGACUGCACAGCUGGAGUGCGGCAGAGGGGGAUGGAAUUCCGCGUGUAGCAGUGAAAUGCGUAGAUAUGCGGAGGAACACCGAUGGCGAAGGCAAUCCCCUGGGCCUGCACUGACGCUCAUGCACGAAAGCGUGGGGAGCAAACAGG
rnacentral:rRNA from 1 species